rnacentral:misc_RNA from 1 species
GGAGGUUAUGGUGAUGGUAGUGGUGGAUAUGGUUCCGGAGGCAACUAUUCGAGCAGUUUUGGCGGUGGUAGCCAAGGAAAUUAUAGUAACGAUUUUGCCAGUGCCAACCGUGGAAGUGUUGCAGGUGGUGGUGGCUUUGGUGGGAAUGAUGCUGGUGGCUACAACGCUGCUAGCAAUUUUGCUACUGGAAACACAUAUGACAGUGGAACUAAUGCUGGUUUUGGUAACGUCAGUGGCGGCGGUGGCGACUAUUUUGCCAACAGUGGGUCCGAUGCAAGCUCUGGGUUUGGAGGAUACACUGGCGGGGAACAAUUUGGCAGCAACGAAACAAACACCAUGGAUGCAUCUGGAGAUCAAGGCCAGGAGGAGCCACUGGAAGGAAAUGAUAGGGACGAAGACGACGCAGAUGACUUUGCUAAAAGAGCCUGAUAAAUUAUAUGCAUUAUCCAUAGUUAACUUCGUCCAGCAUUUUUUUGUUAUGGCCAUGUAGUUUUCCCCUACAUUCUAUACUGAACUUCGUCUUUGUUUGUAUGUUGGACUUGCUUCAAUGGCUGUGAAUUUUUCUAUGCACUAUCAAUCUAGUUUCUUAAUG